GACGAACGCUGGCGGCGUGCUUAACACAUGCCAGUCGAACGGAAAGGCCCUGCUUUUGUGGGGUGCUCGAGUGGCGAACGGGUGAGUAACACGUGAGUAACCUGCCCUUGACUUUGGGAUAACUUCAGGAAACUGGGGCUAAUACCGGAUAGGAGCUCCUGCUGCAUGGUGGGGGUUGGAAAGUUUCGGCGGUUGGGGAUGGACUCGCGGCUUAUCAGCUUGUUGGUGGGGUAGUGGCUUACCAAGGCUUUGAGGGGUAGCCGGCCGGAGAGGGUGACCGGCGACAUUGGGACUGAGAGACGGCCCAGACUCCUACGGGAGGCAGCAGUGGGGAAUAUUGCACAAUGGGCGGAAGCCGGAUGCAGCAACGCCGCGUGCGGGAUGACGGCCUUCGGGUUGUAAACCGCUUUCGCCUGUGACGAAGCGUGAGUGACGGUAAUGUGUAAAGAAGCACCGGCUAACUACGUG
rnacentral:rRNA from 1 species